rnacentral:lncRNA from 1 species
UUCAGUCUCUGGCCCAAGAACUUCCCCAUGCCAGGUGUGGCCAUUAAAAAAAAAAAAAAAAAAAAAAUUCAGUUCUCAAGUUCAGAAUGCUAGCAUCUCCUUCGGACAGCUUAAACCAUUGAAUUUUGUCAUUCGUAUCAAUAUCCCGACAAAUAUGGUAAGUUUUCACAGUUGUAGUUUAACUCUUUUAUGUAAUUUAAUCAUGUUUUGUUUCACUGCAUUUUGCCCUGAAGGGAAAUAGAAGAGCAGACAGUCAGCACACUUCAUAAUAUAGCCUGUCUUUCUAAAAGACACCAGAGUAAUUUAGGAGAACGCUAAUGGGCAAGGGGAGAGAAACCGAUGACUAUUGCAAAUCAACAAUCUUGUUGCUAUGGGAGUAAAAGCUAAAAGAUUAAAUCAAUCCCCAAAAAUGCCAUUUAUUAAAAGUUUAAUAAAAACACAUAGAUCUUUCCAAUUUGAAAUGGAAGACUAGUUUCAGAAAUGAUACUUGAGUCAGCUUUUUCUAAACAUGCAAAAAUAUUUUCUGUUUUUAUUCAAUAGUUGUAUGGAUAUAUAUGUGUGUAUAUAUACAGUUAACAAACAGAGGAAGAAUUUGUUUUUCCAUGCAAAAUAUUGAGGUAUAUCUAAAAUUUCCUAUUUUAGUACCGUCUGUCUUUCUUCUUUUUUACAUAAGGUUCAAAUUAAUGUAGGUUUUUUUAGGUGCAUUCCUUGAUAUUAUGUACUUCCACUUUAUGUGACUUUGUUCAGAGCCACACUAUAUAAUCACACCAUAUAACUAAUAAAUAACCAUGUAAUCAUAAACCAAUUUUUAUGAACCAAAUUAGGCUUAAAAUCAAGCUAGGUAUAUUACAACUCAAAGGGCAUAGACUUUGACACAGUCCUCCAAGAGCUUACAGAGAAAAAAAAAAAAACAAACUCUCAACGCAUUAUAUUUGCAAACAGGAGAGAAACUUAAAACCAGUUCAGCAAAGGUCAGGGAGGUAUUCCCAUCAUUUACAGGUCAAGAGGGGGUGUAAUUAGAGGGAAGAGAUAAGGCUGAGUAUGUAAUUUGGAUGGAGAUGAGAGAGUAGAUAGGAGACUCUUAUGUAGGUAGUGAUUGUGUUGGAGCAAAUUUUUCCAUUCCAGGGAAAUAUUUUUAUUUCUUUUAUUUAAUAGGUUUUUAUUUAGCAUAUUCUGGGGGCACCAAACAAAAAGUGCUAAGGGAUCAGAGCAAGAAUCUAACAGAUUCAAUCCUUACACACUCUGCAUGCAUUUUUAACAUGAAGGAUAAGGAUAACAUAUCAAUGCAUGUUCCCCUGUGGCCCAGCAGGUUAAGGAUCCAGCAUUGUCAUUGCUGCAGCUCUGAUUACAUCUGUGGCAUGGGUUCAAUCCCUGGCCCUGGAACGUCCACACGCCAUGGGGUACAACCCCCCCAAAAAAGGAUAACAUAUCAAGUGGUCACAUAAAACUUCAGUUUGAAAUAUUGUGCAAGAUCCUUGUUCUAAUAACAGUACAAAGAAAUAGUAAAUAUCCUAAAACUGAAAGGAAGAAAUAUAAAAAAAAAUAAGAGCAGUAUGAUUUAUUUCAUUAUAUGAUUCGGCAGGACUGAAAAAGAGCACUUGAAAUGAUGGGACUUCCCAGAUAAGGAAGAGGUGAAUACCCAAAGUCAAAGAAGGAAGAGUUUUCCAAGUCAAAGAACAAUCUAUUUUCACCCCCAGUAACUUUUAUUUUUGACUGCAUCUGCAGCAUGCAGAAGUUCCUGAGCCAGGGAUCGAACCCUAUGCCACAGCAGGAACCUGAGGCACUACAGUAAUAAUGCAGGUCCUUAACCUACUGAGCCACAAGGGAACUCCCCCAGUAACAUUUUAAUAAAAAUUUUUAAGUGCAAACCACCUACUGGCCAAGGAAGAGCUAUGGCCUUGGCCAUCGUGGUGGACUUCCUCCUUGGAGAGAAUGUGGAUAAAUCUUUAACCAUAAACGUGUCCUCCUAGAGACCAGGCUCCUCCCCCUGCCUUGCCUAGUAGUGGCUGAGAGGUCAAGACUGACUGCAAUUACAAUCCCAGGGUAAACGUGGGUGAUCCCUCCCAGAAACAAAGAGUAAUUCAGGAGUUUGUAGAAGUAGAGCACAGCUUAGGACAUUUUUCCAAGGAUUUGACAGAAUAACCCUUUUUUUUCUGCAUGACUUAAUGUUCAGAAUUUAAUACGCAAACUUUCCAAUAUUACAGAAGCAAGUUUGAGAACAAGGAAUAAACACAGGUGAGGGGAGAGCCAAGAGAAUCACAAAGAAAUGAAACCACAGUGAAACUUCACCUGACAGCCAUCCUAACUUUGACCUUUCAAUAACAUACCCUGAUAAACCCUUUUAUUACUCAUGAAUUAUAUCUUCUACAACUUGCAAUAGGAAAUAUCAUAGUAUGUCCACGUGUUAAAGUGUCCAAGGAUUCCAAUUUCUAAAUGAAAUAGUCAUACGAUUAUAAAUACAGAAUAAUUUCUAAAUUUCUCGUCAAAAUAUUUUAAAAGACAGUUGAAAAUAAUACCUAUAAAAACAUUGAUGAUGAAAGUUGACGAGCAAUUUAGAAUGUAGACUGUAAAAGGAAUUGUCACAAAUUAGAAUGUUGAUGAAGGAGUUCCCAUCAUGCAUGACUUAGUGGAAACAAAUCUGACUAGCCUCCAUGAGGACACAGGUUCGAUCCCUGGCCUUUAUCAGUGGAUUAAGGAUCUGGCAUUGACUUGCACUGUGGUGUAGGCUGCAGAUGCCUGAGUCGCUGUGGCUGUGGUUAGGCUGGCAGCUACAGCUCCAAUAAUUCAACCCCUAGCCUGGGAACCUCCAUAUGCCAC